AUUGAACGCUGGCGGCAGGCCUAACACAUGCAAGUCGAACGAGUGGCGGACGGGUGAGUAAUGUCUGGGAAACUGCCGGAUGGAGGGGGAUAAAUACUGGAAACGGUAGCUAAUACCGCAUACCAUCAGAGGUGCCCAGAUGGGAUUAGCUUGGUGGUGGGGGAACGGCUCACCAAGGCGACGAUCCCUAGCUGGUCUGAGAGGAUGAACAGCCACACUGGAACUGAGACACGGUCCAGACUCCUACGGAAGGCAGCCGUGGGGAAGCGUGCACAAUGGGCGCAAGCCUGAUGCAGCCAUGCCGCGUGUAUGAAGAAGGCCUUCGGGUUGUACAGUACUUUCAGCGGGGAGGCGUUACCCGCAGAAGAAGCACCGGCUAACUCCGUGCCAGCAGCCGCGGUAAUAC
rnacentral:rRNA from 1 species